rnacentral:tRNA from 1 species
GAGGGUAUAGCUCAGUGGUAGAGUGCCUGCUUAGCAUGCCCAAGGUCCUGGGUUCAACCUCCAGUACCACCA